UACAGAGGGUGCGAGCGUUGUUCGGAAUUAUUGGGCGUAAAGCGCUUGUAGGCGGCUUGUUAAGUUCCGUGUGAAAUCCCCAGGCUUAACCUGGGAAGUGCGCGGAAAACUGGCGAGCUUGAGUGCCGGAGAGGGUCGCGGAAUUCCCGGUGUAGAGGUGAAAUUCGUAGAUAUCGGGAGGAACACCGAGUGGCGAAGGCGGCG
rnacentral:rRNA from 1 species